CCCUUAGAUGUUCUGGGCAGCACGCGCGCUACAAUGGUCUUCGCAAACGGAUGCAUUCUCGAAGGAGAAUGCCAAUCUUGGAAUCUAUGCCUUGGUCGGGACAGUUGCUUGCAAUUUUUCGACUCGAACCAGGAAUUCCUUGUAAUCGUGAUUCAUCACAUCACGAUGAAUACGUCCCUGCCCUUUGUACACACCGCCCGUCGCCCCUACCGAUCGAAGAGUUAGGUGAAUUGUUUUGAUCGAUAAGAUUUGACUAUGGUCAACUCUCGUUGUGAAAUUCUGUGAAUCUGACUGUUUAGAGGAAGGAAAAGGCGUAACA
rnacentral:rRNA from 1 species